CCUGGCUCAGGACGAACGCUGGCGGCGCGCCUAACACAUGCAAGUCGAACGGAGCUUAAAGAGCUUGCUUUUUGAGCUUAGUGGCGAACGGGUGAGUAACGCGUGAGUAACCUGCCCUGGAGUGGGGGACAACAGUUGGAAACGACUGCUAAUACCGCAUAAGCCCACGGAUUCGCAUGGAUCUGCGGGAAAAGGAUUUAUUCGCUUCAGGAUGGACUCGCGUCCAAUUAGCUAGUUGGUGAGGUAACGGCCCACCAAGGCGAGGAUUGGUAGCCGGACUGAGAGGUUGAACGGCCAUAUUGGGACUGAGACACGGCCCAGACUCCUACGGGAGGCAGCAGUGGGGGAUAUUGCACAAUGGGGGAAACCCUGAUGCAGCGACGCCGCGUGGAGGAAGAAGGUUUUCGGAUUGUAAACUCCUGUCGUUAGGGACGAUAAUGACGGUACCUAACAAGAAAGCACCGGCUAACUACGUGCCAGCAGCCGCGGUAAAACGUAGGGUGCAAGCGUUGUCCGGAAUUACUGGGUGUAAAGGGAGCGCAGGCGGACCGGCAAGUUGGAAGUGAAAACUAUGGGCUCAACCCAUAAAUUGCUUUCAAAACUGCUGGCCUUGAGUAGUGCAGAGGUAGGUGGAAUUCCCGGUGUAGCGGUGGAAUGCGUAGAUAUCGGGAGGAACACCAGUGGCGAAGGCGACCUACUGGGCACCAACUGACGCUGAGGCUCGAAAGCAUGGGUAGCAAACAGGAUUAGAUACCCUGGUAGUCCAUGCCGUAAACGAUGAUUACUAGGUGUUGGAGGAUUGACCCCUUCAGUGCCGCAGUUAAACACAAUAAGUAAUCCACCUUGGGAGUACGACCGCAAGGUUGAAACUCAAAGGAAUUGACGGGGGCCCGCACAAGCAGUGGAGUAUGUGGUUUAAUUCGAAGCAACGCGAAGAACCUUACCAGGUCUUGACAUCCGAUGCAUAGCUUAGAGAUAAGUGAAGUCCUUCGGGACAUCGAGACAGGUGGUGCAUGGUUGUCGUCAGCUCGUGUCGUGAGAUGUUGGGUUAAGUCCCGCAACGAGCGCAACCCUUAUUGCCAGUUACUACGCAAGAGGACUCUGGCGAGACUGCCGUUGACAAAACGGAGGAAGGUGGGGAUGACGUCAAAUCAUCAUGCCCUUUAUGACCUGGGCUACACACGUACUACAAUGGCGUUUAACAAAGAGAAGCAAGACCGCGAGGUGGAGCAAAACUCAAAAACAACGUCUCAGUUCAGAUUGCAGGCUGCAACUCGCCUGCAUGAAGUCGGAAUUGCUAGUAAUCGCGGAUCAGCAUGCCGCGGUGAAUACGUUCCCGGGCCUUGCACUCACCGCCCGUCA
rnacentral:rRNA from 1 species